CGCGAGAGUACAAGGACUGUCCUCUGUUUCAACUCAUGGACCUAUUAUGUAAGAUUUGAAAUGUGAUUGGAUUUCAUUGUAAGUCAGCCAAAUUUUGAACAACGAAAAAAAUAUUUCUGGAUAUUGAAAUCAAAUUGCUAUACUUUUUCAAAGCAAGCGCAAAUAAAUUGAUUCCAAUUGCACAAAGAACGCACAACUUCAUUAGACCCGUAUCAGGAAUCGCGCAGAUUUUAUCCACGUGCCCGUCACGUGCAUGCACCCAGCUCAGCUGCACUUGCGACAACGACGACGUGUGUAUACUUAAGGAAGAGUUACGAAGGCCUGGCUGCAAUCAUUUCACACGCUGCGAUUUGCGUCGUUAAUUCGAAUCUAAUUGCGUCAUGAUUGGCUUCCCGAUGCAGCCUGUUGUUGGCGGGCUCCUCUGCCUCCCUCUUGCAGCUUGGCAAAUUUGGUCAUCGAUUAUGUCACGCAUCGCGAUGCCGCGCCGCCACUGAUCGACCGCGCAAACCGCGCGCUGUUUUUGCUCGACUUGAUCGUCUUGGUUUAGUUUUUGUGGUUUUUUGCCUUCCUCACUGAGGUAAGGCUAUAAUCCUGCUCUAAAAAUGAACUUUCUAUU